GUCCACGCCCUAACUAUGUCGACUAGUUGUUGGGAGUCUGUCCCUCAGUAACGUAGCUAACGCGUGAAGUCGACCGCCUGGGGAGUACGGUCGCAAGAUUAAACUCAAAGGAAUUGACGGGACCCGCACAAGCGGUGGAUUAUGUGGAUUAAUUCGAUGCAACGCGAAGAACCUUACCUACCCUUGACAUGCCAGGAACUCCGCAGAGAUGUGGAGGUGCCCGAAAGGGAACCUGGACACAGGUGCUGCAUGGCUGUCGU
rnacentral:rRNA from 1 species